UCGUUCAGAUGUGAUGCGG
rnacentral:siRNA from 1 species